AACUCUUAGCGGUGGAUCACUCGGCUCGUGAGUCGAUGAAGAACGCAGCCAGCUGCGUUAACUAAUGUGAAUUGCAGGACACAAUGAUCAUCGACACUUCGAACGCACAUUGCGGCCCCGGGGGCACCCCCGGGGCUACGCCUGUCUGAGGGUCG
ensembl:rRNA 5_8S_rRNA 5.8S ribosomal RNA